rnacentral:lncRNA from 1 species
UCCGUCCACCAUCUCCCAGGAUAUCUAGUCAGGCUGACCACAUUAUACAAUUAUCAAUUUACAUAACCUUUUGUUCCCCUUUUCCUCAGUCAGCAUCAUUAAAUCACACACAAACAAGCAAACUAGUAAUUUAUGUCAAACAAGACAACAUACAACAUCGGGUUCUCAGUCAUUCAACCCAUAAUCAAUAAAACAGUGAUAUAUGCACACAAAACUAUGAAAUGAAAACAUCAGACCUCAUACUGCAUUUAAAACUGUAAAAU